AGUGGGGGGAGAGCAGGGGGCCCCUCAUGAAGUCCAUGAUCAUCUCCACAGUUUGAGCAUGUGUAAAGCUCCAGCAAGCGUCCAGUAAUGUCAUUCAAGUAGGCCAACACCAGUCUCUCAAAUCAACCCAUUCUCACUCCAAAGGCGUCAAAAACCGAAGCAUGGUCAAGCGCCCCUAGCGUCACUUUUAUGACGCCAAAUGUGCCUCUCGGCGUCGAAUAUCGAAGCACUACGACAUUCAUUGCUUUCAAUGGGAAACUUUUGGCGUCAGAAUUCGACACGAGGACAUGAGAUGUUUAUCGCUAUGAAAUCACGUUCAAGAAGUCUCAUUCAGCACACAUCGCGAUACUUGCUAUCAGUUCCACAGUUUGGCUGAAAAGACAUAAAGGCAGUCAGCCCAGUGGUGUUUCUGGAGAGGGAUUCCUUCAGAAAUGGAGAAGACAGAAAGCUGCGGAGGCAGAUAUAUGCAGCAGUCUAAAAUAUCAAGCUCAACAACUCACUCAAGAGCCAACCCUCACAAACCUUCCUAAAAACUAAAAGAGCUAUUACUGAGUCUCAGCGAAUCUUGCCAUGAUCAGCUCUUCCCAGAAGAGAAGGAAGACCAAGGAAAUGAUUUGCUCAGGAUGAGGAAUGAAGAUGGCCAUCUUGUGCUCAAACAAACAGAAGUCCUCUGAUGAUCUCAUCAGCCAAAUGAGGGGUUUUGACCAAGUGAUGCUCUUGAAAGGAGUGAAAGAAGAGGAUGUGCUAAAUUCUCUUCAGAGAAAAAGCUUCUCAAAAGGUCUUAAAACAGCUUGAAGAAUGGUCUGGGAUGUUAGGACUGAGAGAUCCUCUGGCUGAGAACAAGCUACACCACAUCAGUGCUGGACAUCAACCACAAACUGUUUCCAGACACGAGAGAAGAAGAACACGAUGGGGAGAUGAAACCAGUUUAGAUGUGAUGAUGGGAAUCAUUAUUUUCUGGAACAGUAUCUCAUGUCUUAUAUGUAUCACAUGAUCUGUAUCACAGUUGACUGGAUGGGACUGUGUGACUUUUAAGGACAUUUCAUCACUCAUCUGUGUGAACUGAUUUAUAUAUGAGGUUAAUGUAUCUUUGAUGAUAAUUAUUUUCAUUGAAUCUUAUUUGUCUUGAUGCUACUUUAUCAACUUUAUAGUCUAUGCUUCAAUAAAAUGAAAAUGGUGAA